rnacentral:rRNA from 1 species
CAGUUUGCCGAAUAAAGCCGUAAGGCGCUUUGAGAGGAGCCCGCGUCCCAUCAGGUAGUUGGUGAGGUAAUGGCCCACCAAGCCGAUGACGGGUAGCUGUUCUGAGAGGAAGAUCAGCCACACUGGCACUGAGAUACGGGCCAGACUCCUACGGGAGGCAGCAGUGAGGAAUAUUGCACAAUGGACGAAAGUCUGAUGCAGCGACGCCGCGUGAGCGAUGAAGGCCUUCGGGUCGUAAAGCUCUUUUAGCAGGGACCAGUGAGGACGGUACCUGUUGAAUAAGUCUCGGCUAACUACGUGCCAGCAGCCGCGGUAAAACGUAGGAGGCGAAGCGUUAUCCGGAUUCACUGGGCGUAAAGCGUGCCGUAGGCGGUUGGGUAAGUUCGGACGUUAAAGCCCCUGGCUUAACUAGGGGAGGUCGUUUCGAUACUUGCUUGGCUUUGAGGAUGAAAGAGGAAAAGCGGAAAUUCCCCGAUGUAGCCGGUGGAAUGCGUUAAAGA